GGUAAGGUGGCUGAGUAUUAAGCGGCGGAUUGUAACCCCGAGAAGAAAGGUGGGAAUCCUUUACUUACCA
rnacentral:tRNA from 1 species